rnacentral:rRNA from 1 species
GUCGAGGGGUAUAUUUCUUCGGAGAUAGAGACCGGCGCACGGGUGCGUAACGCGUAUGCAAUCUACCUUUUACAGAGGGAUAGCCCAGAGAAAUUUGGAUUAAUACCUCAUAGUAUUAUGAAAUGGCAUCAUUUUAUAAUUAAAGUCACAACGGUAAAAGAUGAGCAUGCGUCCCAUUAGCUAGUUGGUAAGGUAACGGCUUACCAAGGCUACGAUGGGUAGGGGUCCUGAGAGGGAGAUCCCCCACACUGGUACUGAGACACGGACCAGACUCCUACGGGAGGCAGCAGUGAGGAAUAUUGGACAAUGGGCGCAAGCCUGAUCCAGCCAUGCCGCGUGCAGGAUGACGGUCCUAUGGAUUGUAAACUGCUUUUAUACGAGAAGAAACACUACUUCGUGAAGUAGCUUGACGGUAUCGUAAGAAUAAGGAUCGGCUAACUCCGUGCCAGCAGCCGCGGUAAUACGGAGGAUCCAAGCGUUAUCCGGAAUCAUUGGGUUUAAAGGGUCCGUAGGCGGUUUAAUAAGUCAGUGGUGAAAGCCCAUCGCUCAACGGUGGAACGGCCAUUGAUACUGUUAAACUUGAAUUAUUAGGAAGUAACUAGAAUAUGUAGUGUAGCGGUGAAAUGCUUAGAGAUUACAUGGAAUACCAAUUGCGAAGGCAGGUUACUACUAAUGGAUUGACGCUGAUGGACGAAAGCGUGGGUAGCGAACAGGAUUAGAUACCCUGGUAGUCCACGCCGUAAACGAUGGAUACUAGCUGUUGGAAGCAAUUUCAGUGGCUAAGCGAAAGUGAUAAGUAUCCCACCUGGGGAGUAC